UACGGGGGGGGCAAGCGUUGUUCGGAAUUACUGGGCGUAAAGGGCUUGUAGGCGGCCAACUAAGUCCGACGUGAAAUCCCCAGGCUUAACCUGGGAACUGCGUCUGAUACUGGAUGGCUUGAGUUCGGGAGAGGGAUGCGGAAUUCCAGGUGUAGCGGUGAAAUGCGUAGAUAUCUGGAGGAACACCGGUGGCGAAGGCGGCAUCCUGGACCGACACUGACGCUGAGGAGCGAAAGCCAGGGGAGCAAACGGG
rnacentral:rRNA from 1 species